rnacentral:rRNA from 1 species
UACAGAGGUCUCGAGCGUUAGGCGGAAUCACUGGGCUUAAAGCGUGUGUAGGCGGAUCGUUAAGUGCCUUGUGAAAUCCCACGGCUCAACCGUGGAACUGCUUGGCAUACUGGCGGUCUUGAGCAACCUAGGGGCGAGCGGAACAAAUGGUGGAGCGGUGAAAUGUGUAGAUAUCAUUUGGAACGCCAAUGGUGAAAACAGCUCGCUGGGGGUUUGCUGACGCUGAGACACGAAAGCCAGGGGAGCAAACGGG